rnacentral:misc_RNA from 1 species
GAUGAAGAACGCAGCUAAAUGCGAUAAGUAAUGUGAAUUGCAGAAUUCAGUGAAUCAUCGAAUCUUUGAACGCACCUUGCGCUCUUUGGUAUUCCGAAGAGCAUGCCUGUUUGAGUGUCAUGAAAAUAUCAACCUUGACUUGGGUUUUGUGCUCUAGUCUCGGCUUGGAAUUGGGUGCUUGCCGCUUUUACGAGCGGCUCACCUUAAAUGUAUUAGCUGGAUCUGUCUUUGAGACUUGGUUUGACUUGGCGUAAUAAGUAUUUCGCUAAGGACAUUCUUCGGAGUGGCCUCGUUUCUAGGACGCUUGUCCGCUUUCCAAUACAAGUUCCACCUCGUGGACAUGACUUUUUAUUAUCUGGCCUCAAAUCAGGUAGGACUACCCGCUGAACUUAAGCAUAUCAAUAAGCGGAGGA